UGAGGGAGGCAAAGAGUGAAGGUGCUCGUGGCGGAGGUCGUGGUGGGCGAGGAUAUGGACGUGGACGUGGUGGUAGUGGUAGUGGUGGAUACAGACGUGAUUUUGCAAAUGACGAGAACUUAUUCAGCAAUAAUGCUGUACCUGAAGAUGGAGAGAGUGGAAAACCCUCUGAAAGGCGUGGUUAUGGUGGUCCUCGACCUUACCGUGGUGGUCGCCGUGGUGGUUUCAGUAAUGGGGAAGAUGCAGAUGGGGAGCGACCUCGCAGGUUGUAUGAACGCCGUAGUGGGACAGGGCGCGGGUAAAAAAGGAAGCUUUUGUUUAACAUUAGCUUUGAUAUAUUCUGCAUAUCGGUAUUUUAGCCAAGUCUCAAAGCUGAUGUUUUUGUGUUCUGUUCAUGUCUGCAGAAAUGAGCUCAAACGUGAAGGCUCUGGUCGUGGUAAUUGGGGAACUCAAACUGAUGAACUUGCUCAGUGAGUUAUCUCUAGUAGUUACAACCACAACCUUCAAUUUUAUUGUAAAUCAAUAAAAUAUCACUUUGUUUCACUCUUCUUCCCUUAUUAUAAUCAUAAAAUGAAAAUGAAAUAUUGUAUUUUUAUUGUUAAGGGUGACUGAAGAAGUUGCCAAUGAAGGUGAGAGGAAUUUAGGUGAUGAAAAACCAGCAGGAGAAGAGGAUGCUAGAGAUGCUAACAAGGAGAGUGCUUCAAACGAGCCUGAAGAAAAAGAGCCCGAGGAUAAGGUAAGGUUAUUGACGUCUGCAACUUUUGUUAAUUAUAUAUGAUAGCUGCUAAUUUGGCUAUUACUUUGUUCAACGUUUCAUAUUGCAUUUUUAUAGGAGAUGACUCUUGAGGAGUAUGAGAAGGUGCUGGAAGAGAAGAGGAAGGCUCUGCAGGCUCUCAAGAUCGAGGAAAGAAAAGUAGAUGCCAAGGAGUUUGAAUCUAUGCAACAGCUUUCAAACAAGAAAAGUAAUGAUGAGGUCUUCAUCAAAUUGGUAAGACCCUUCGAUUCACUUUGAGAAAUUCAUCGUUAAUGACUCCAUCUUAUUAUUGGGAAAAUAUGUAGUAUUAAUCACUUGUUCCCUAUAAUUGGCUUCUACAGGGAUCUGAUAAAGAUAAGAGAAAAGAGGCUUAUGACAGAGAAGAGAGAGCAAAAAAGGUACUUUUACUUAUUUUUAUUGAUCUGUGUCAUAUAAUUUGCCUUCCCUUUUCCAGUUUGAACCUCAUUUGUGUGAUUAUUCUGUAUUUAAGGGACCUUAGUUUAUACUGAUGUCAAAGUCCCUUGAUUUAAGAAGUAGUCCUAUCUCUUCCAUGAUUAAAGCUUGCAUAUGUGCUUUCUCCUUUUACCGGUUUGUGCAAGUUUAUCUAUGGCUUGCGUUUAUAUUUUUUGCUGGCACGUACUGAUGAUCCCUAUCCAUGUGGUGGUGGUGGGUAGUCUGUCAGCAUUAAUGAAUUUCUGAAGCCCGCUGAAGGGGAGAGGUACUAUAAUCCAAGUGGACGUGGGCGUGGUCGUGGACGAGGUUCAAGAGGAUUCGGUGGAGGUAAUGCAGCAAGAGAUGUGGCAGCACCAUCCAUUGAAGACCCUGGGCACUUCCCAAUUCUUGGGGGCAAGUGAAGAAGGGAGAUUCCUUUAGAACCCGACAUAUGAUAUCCAUGGGUUUUAUUGGAUUUUUAGGUACUUUUAAAUUUUGGGCUGGGAAUAAGAUAAAUAAUCUGGUUUCCUGUCGCCAAAGGAUCUCUGAAUUUUAUGUAGUAAAAUGUAUGUUUCAGGGUUUUUCUCUCUUUUUGUUUUUUGGGGGUAUUGCCCCCACUAUUGUUAUGCUUUGAUCGUACUGCUCACUGCUCACUGCUCACUGCUCACUGCUCAGUUUUCUUUUGGAAUAGAUGGAACUAUUUUGCUACUUGUUUUCGAGCACUUUAGCAGUGUUUGCACCUGUUGCUCCCCAGAAUCUAAAGAUGAAUUAAUAGCGAUGCAGGGGAAGUAAAGCCUAAGAUUCUCUACCGUAGGGGUGAGCAAAAUUCGAUUCGACUCGAAAAAAUCGAAAAAAAUUCGAAUUUCGAGUUAAACGAAUCGAGUUAUCCGAAUCAACUCGAAUUUUUUUUCAAAUUUCGAGUUCGAAUCGAGUUGAGUUUUUGAAUUCGAAUAACUCAAAUGAUUCGAAUAUCAAACUAUAAUAUUUUACAUUUUUAUCUUAAACUCUUAAAUUUUUUUACUUUUCUCUCAAAAUUUUUACUCCUUCCAACUUACUCCCAAAUCUUUUACUCCUCUUCCCUCCCAACCUCUAAAUUUAUUCAAAAUUUAUUUCCCACCAAAAUUUUACUCUCCUAUUUAUUUUUUCUUAAAAUUUUACUCUGAAAAACCUUCAAAAUCUUUUAUUUUCCCUCAAAAUUUAUACUUUCUCGUACUUUUUUCCUAAAACUUUUAUUCUUUUCCCAUUCCACCUCUCAUCUACCCCAAACCUUUCCCUCUUCAAUUUUUUUAAAAAUAUUUUCCCUCCAAAAUUUUGCUCCCCUAUUUAUUUUCCCUUAAAUUUUUAUUACUCAAAACUUUUUAUUUUUUCCUUAAACUUUUACUCCUCUCCAUUUACUCUUAAAUAAAAAUCAAAAUUAUCAAAAAAAUCACUAAAUAUAAAUAGUAAUAAUUUUAUUUAUAUCUACUAUUUAUAUUAUUAAAUUAAAUUAAAUUUUACAUUUUAUAUUAUUUAUAUUAUUGAAUUGUUUAGUCAUAUUGAAUAUUUAUAUUAAAAUUGAAUUCUUAAUUAUGCCAUAAAAUAUUCGUGUUAAAAUUUUAUAUUAGUAUCAAUUUCACAUUUUAUUUUUAAAAUAACUUUUAUUAAAAAGUCAUAUUUUUACAUUUAAUAUAUUUUUUAAUUCCAAAAUACAUAGUGACAAGAAUUUGAAGAUAAUUGAAACAACUAAGCAAGCAAAGAAGCUAACCAGUAUAUAAAAAAUUAAUAUAUAAAUUAUAAGGUGAUGAAAGUUAAUAAAAAUUUUGAUUAAGGUGGACAAAUUUUAUUACGAUAGGUUAUAGUGGUUAUAAGGACUCAAAAUUAUUUUUUAAAAUUUAACUCGAACAAAUAUAUUCGAUUCGAUUCGAUUCGAAUUCCAUCUCACUCGACUCGAUUCGAGAAAACUUCAAAUAAAGUUAAGAUGAUAAAAUGAGAUUCGAAAACUUGAUUAACUUGAAAAUUUUCGAUUCAAUUCGAUUCGAUCGAAUGCUCACCUCUACUCUACCGUACUUCUGCCAUGGCUGCAUUGCAUUGUCUCGACUCGUCUUCCAUGAGAUGAGAUGAAGCCAAAUGCUUUUAGAUCUUAAUCGUCAAUGCAUUUGAACAUCUGAUUACUGUUUUCAAAUCAUAUUGUUUUACAUAAUCUUUAAAUCAUAUUGUGUAAAAGCAUAGACGCAAGCAGCGACAUCAGCAACAACAUCGAAGCUUAGAAAGUUGGAUCAGAUUAUUGUCGGAUUUGCGUCAUGAAUCCGCCUUGUUUGCUAUUGUAAGUUGUACGUUUCAGGGAAGGGUUGCGUGGUUUAGAUAACAUAUGAAUCAAAUUUUUAUUGUUGGCUUACCUACUCGAAUUUGAAGUUAAAUAUUUAAAAUAUGUGAAUCAAUUUUUAAUUAUAUCUAUUUAUUACACAGACAGUUUGGAUGUGAUGAGUAAUAAAAUAUUUCUUUUAAAUUUUAUUAUAUUAUUCGUUUUUUUAAUACGUUACUUGUCGAUUAUUCAAGUAGUAUGUACAUGUAUGUUUAAACUUUGAUCUACAUAUUUUAAAUACGUUUUAUAUCAAAUUUGACUUAGAAUUUAAUGCUUAAUCUGACAAUUAAGUUAAUAGAAAGAUUUUAUUAAUACGAUACUAGUAUUUUGACUACUAAAUUAAAAAUAUGAUGAGAGUUAAAUAUUUAACAAAAGCAAUAGAAAAUCAUGGAAUAAAAUAAGAAUAUGUAUUAAUUAUAACCAUAAAGAAUAUUGACAUUAUAGCCAAUAACCUUGUCUAAAUGGGAAAGUCAAAUCUCCUAAACAAAAUUUAAAUAACAGAUCACCUACGAAACUAAAACAAUCCCUGCAAUAUUUGUUGAUACAAAUAAUUAACAAAGAGGAGAUGGAGGGGAGUGUCAAUUCACCUGACAAGAGAAGGGGAAUGGGAGAAAGUUUGGUUGAUGUUUAGGGUUUUUGUCUACGAAAGGAGAGAUUAUUGGUCUCUCGUGCACUUGGAUAUAUAUAGGGGCUCACCCAUUGUAUUGUUGUGCCACGUAGCCGACAACAUUAGGGUCUGUAUGGUUAUGUGGUCCUGCUCAGACAUACAGUGUACUAUGAGGUCCUACUCAAACAUUCUUAUCCUUGACAUUUUACGAGGUUGUUACAUCUCAAUAGUCUCCACGAAGGGUAUACAACGAGUGAUCCCCACGAAGGGUGCGUAGUGGGUUGUUUCUAAGUUGGUUUGGACAGAAAAUCUGCAGACCAUCCUAAGCGAAGGGUCGUUACGAACAGUCCCUAGCGGAGGGUUGUCAACAGGUUGUUCCGUACCUUGCCAUGUGUCAUGCUCUUGUAAGGGUAUAAUAAUUGCCUCCUAGGCAAGAGGUAGUUUACAAAGUGGCCUGCCUUGAGACUAUUUAGUCAAUAGCUAUAACGGAGAGUUACCAAAGUAAGCCAUGUAAUGGAAGGGGUGGAAGAUGAAAAGUUGUGAUGCUUACGCGUAUUGAGAACGCUUUAGGAAAAAGGGGGUGCACUGAAUAUUCUAGAAAUUGUGCAUUAAUGGUGGAGCAUUGCAACUAUUCUUUGGGAAAUGACGCCAAUGAUGGGGUAGACUUUGUGUCCUUUUGUGGGACACAGUCUAGUUGGGUUGCUCCGUGAAUUAUUAGGUCUGCUAGAAUUGAAAUGCACCAUUUUGAGAAGUCCCUUUAAAAGAGGCUUAAGGGUUAUUUGCUUCAUCUUCAAAAUUUCCUAAGUGUUUAAGCCUUCAAGUUUUCCGGUUUUAUUUUUCGUUAUUUAAAUUUUCUAAGUGUUUACUCUUCAUUUUCUCUAUUAUUCUCAUCUUCUUUCACUUUCAUUUUUUCACCACAUUUGCUUGCUCAGAGUUAGGGCGUAUGUUGAGGGUAAGGCUCAAUUUUUGAAUCUUUCCUUUUCUUUUUGUUUUGAAUUAGCACCGAUAGCCAAAGGAAAUAAAGGAGAGGAGAUUGGGCCUUAAGAGGCAGUGGCUAAGAAGGUGAAAAAAAUUCCUAGGUUAGAGAGAGAUGUGGUGGUGGUUGGCACUUUUGAGUGCACCAACAGGACAAAAGAGAUGACUCGAUUACUCCGAUGCUGAGGGCUGGAGCCGAAGCACUAUCGAUAUGAAUUCAAUAAUCUAAGGGGUGAGUUUUCUCUAAGUGCAAUGAGUAGGCCUAACCAUAGGGGAAAGAUGCAUGGGUUUUACUUGUCGCUAUAUGUGUUAGAGGCAAGGUUUCAUCUUCCACUUCACCACUUUGUAUGUGAGAUUCUUAAUUAUUAUAGGAUAGUUUUGGGACAAUUAGCAGGGUUUUCAUGGUGGAUAAUAAUUGGGUUUUUGUUGUUGUGCUGUGAGUGUGGGAGGGGGGAGAGGUCCCCCACUAGUUGAACCAAACAACUCACCCCAGGUUGUGUACCUCACAAAGCAUCAAAGGCCCUCUGGUAGAAAAUUUGCUCUAUGGGUGGGCCAGCAACUUGAGCCUAGAUAGACAGACACAAGUACAUUGUAGUGACCCGAAAGUCAGUGGUGUUGGAAAACGCGAUUUCGAGAUCUCAUUUCUGUAAAUUGAGACCGUAAAUAUUUACGGAUGUAUAUUGUAGAUUAAUUGAAUUUUGGAUAGACAAUUUUGUUAAAUUAGAGUUUAAUUAAGGUAUAGAGACUAAAUCAUAAAAUUGGUAAAAAGUUUUAUCACUAAAGAAUUUAAUAAUUAGAAAUAAGGAUAGGGACUAUUAUGGUAAUUAUACCGUCUAAUUAUUAUUGUGGCUAAUUUUUAACUAAGGUAUGCAUUUAUAUUAUAAAAAUUUUAGUUUAAUUAAAAAUUACAAAUAAAACAUAAAUUAAAAAGGAAUGAAAUAUAAAUAGUGGAGAAACAAAAUAUUUCCUAUUCAUUUUCCAUUCAUGCAGCCCAGAAACAAGAAAAAGAAAGAAGAAGUUUGGCCUUAGGAUUCCAUUUUUAAUGCUUCAAAUUGGUAUGUGCAAUUUAAUCAUUUUCUUGUAAAUUUUAUGUUUUUGGAGUCCCAAGAGCUUAAUCUAGAUGAAUUGUAUGUUAUUUUUUAGAAUUUUUAAAGUUUUAGAAUGAUGCCAUUGAUGAAUCUUUGAAGUUUUAGAUACUAAAUUGAUAGAUUUAAAGCUUAGAAGUGAAAAGGGACUAAAUUGUGAAGUUAAUUUAUAGUUUUGUAUAAUAGAGACUAAAAUGAAAAAAUUUUAAAAUUUAUGGUAGAAAUUAGAAACAGGAAGUCCUAAUUGGACUAUAGUGAAAAUGAAUUGAAAAUAUGAGUUCUAGAUUGAAAGUUAUGUUAGUCUUAGUUUUAGGGACUAAAUUUAAUAAAAUGUAAAAGUUAUAUAAAUUUUCAAUUUAGUGUGAAUUUGAUUGUGUAUUGAUGAAUUAUUAUUGUGUUUAUAUUAAUCCGUAGCUAACGUCGACCUGGAUUCCUAAAAAAAGAAAGGAAAAGAUAAAAUUAUCGACGAAUAGCUUAGAGUUUUCAAUUUGUGUUUCUAUAAUCUGAAUUGUCUCAAUUGUUGCAUGUAUGAACUUCGUUGUAUGGUAAGAUCAUAAGGUGAGUUACAAUUGAUAAAAUGGGUUGAAAUGAUUCGAUACGAAUUGGUUGUCUAUGUUAAGGACUGAAUUGAAUAGAUUUAAAAAUAUUAUAUAUUGUUUUAAAUGUGAAAUUGUAUCAAUUUUGUGAUGAUUUAUGUUGAUAUAUAUAAGAAUUGUUGAUUGGUUGAUUGAGAUUAUGAAAUGGAAAUUGGGAAUCGAUUAUAAAUGAAUGUGAGAAACUUGUUACCCUAUUGACUGUUCGAGCAGGGUUGGGUAUAAUUGGCAUGCCAUAGGAUAGGAAGAGUUUAGGGUUUUUACGACUACGAGUUGAGGUGAGAUGGGCACACCUAAUUUUCGGUUAUACCAACCAACGCUGGGCGCAACUUACCAUUUCAGAUUUAUCCGAUUGGCACUAGGUGUUAAAUUGGUGUGAUUGGUUGAAUUUGUGUAUCCGUUCGAAUCCGAGUCAGUUUAAUAGGGGUUAAAAGUGGAAAUAAAAAUAAUGAAUUAUGAAAUAAAUUGAUAAAAAGAUCGAUGAUAUUCAUUUUUAUUGAAAGCUUGGAAUUGAGAUAGACAUGUGGCAAUAUAUUUUGUUGAGACGUUAACUAUGUUAUAAAAUGCAUUCGAUAUUAUAAUGGUAGUAGAUAUGAUGAAAAUGCAUUGUAUAAUAUUUGGUUGGUAUAUACACGCUAUGAUCUUUGAACCAUAACUUUAUACGUUUUCUAUUCCGUUUUAUUAUUCGAAUUAUGGAAAUACCAUUGAGUUCAUACUCAACGUACGAUAUUGUUUAUUCAUGCGCAAGUUAGGUGUUAGAUCAUAUACGUUUGUUGAUAUCAACAUCCAUUCGUGAUCUCGGACUUAUCAUGUUGGUGAUACUUUAGUUAGUUUGUUGGCAUGUACUUAAGGGGUCUUAUACCUAUAUUAUGCUAAUUGGAUAAAUGUUGACAUUUUGGCAUAGUUGGUGCAUAUGUAAAUGUUUACUAUUAAUGGUAUGGAUCAUGUGUUUAUAAAUGUGUUGGAUGCGCUUAAAGAUUAAAAGGUACAAUGCAAGCUAGUAAAUAAACGAGUUAUAUUGAAUGAUGAUUAAUAGUGAAAUGGUUAAGUAAAUAGCAUGUUAACGUUAAUAUGAAUUGGUAAGAAAAAUGUUGGUUAUGUUAAACAUGAAAUGGUCAUUUGUUGAUAGAUGAACAUGUAUUAUGGAUGAUUAAGUUGAAUUUGGUAAUGUUUUUUAAUGUGAAUUGAUAUGUUUUAGGUGCCAUUUGAGGCAUAUUGGUAUUUUGAUUGUAUGUGCUAUGAAUGUGUCAAAUUGGUAUGUUUUCUAUUGAAUUUAUGCAGGUUUUGAGUAGGAAUUAUUGUGCAUUUGAACAUAGGUUAUGCUUUGAAUAUGGUUAAACAUGAACUAGGCCCUAGAUGACAUAUUUUGUGCCACACAGUUUGGCCACACAAUCGUGUGUCACACAAGGGUUAGUGACACGACUGUGUGCCACUAAAAUAUAGGAUGUAUAAGAAGCACACGGUUCCCAAUUGAUACAGGGGCUGGCCAUACGCCCAUAUGACUACUGUAGUUAUGGUCAUUUAGUUUUCACACAGUUUCAAUUUGUUACACAGCCCAGCCACAUGGCCAUGUGACUUUUGUUGAAUAUUUGCAUUUUGACCCACACGACCAUAGUGAGUUACACGGUUUGGAUACAUGGUCGUGUGACUCCAAUUCUACACGGUUAUAGGUUGUUACACGGUUGUGUGACCCCUAUUUUGCACAAUUGCCCUUCUUUUUUGUAAAAGUUUCAAAAUGAUUAUUGUUUGAUAUCGGGUCAAUUUAAGAGCUUUUGUAAGCUCAAUUUAAACCAAAUUUUGUUUGCAAAGUAUGAUUUAUGUGAAUGUUUGUAUUUAUUUAAUGUAUAAUUGAUUUUUUUAUGAAACACGUGUAACUAUUUUGUUAAUUGUUGUAGCAUCUUGCCACUCGAGUCUGACGACCGAACCGGGUGAGGGGUGUUACAUACAUACUUGUGGAAUUAAAUUUUGGGGAUAGCUUUGAUUUCCUAAUUGAGUGGCCCAUGCAUUCAAAUGAUUUAUGUAACUUUAAGCCUUCAUUAGAAACUUAUGAAGGAGGCUGAAAAGAAGUUUAAUGACUUGAGAAUGGAGGGUUUCAUUGUGCUACCUUAUGAUAUAACCAUUCAUAGAAUUUGAAACACUGUCUUAGUUGAGUAAUUCCAUUUAGCUUCCAUAAUAUUGACUUCUAGUGAAGGUUCACCAAUAACGGUAUGAGGGCGCCCUAUACCCAUGCCUAGCCACACAACAGUGAAUAUGUGGUGUAUGGGAUUUUGUUUGGCCUAGAGGAGAAGGCGUAGUUGUAUAUAGUACAUUUUGGACUAUGUCUUGAUCGUAAGUGAGGGGCCUCUAAAGGCGUAACACAUGUAACAUUAUUAGACCCUUCUAAGGUUGAAGAAUGACAAUAUAAUAUAGGAAAUAGGGUCUAAAAGUUGUCUAGGGGUCUGGGGCUAAUGCACACACUACCGCGAAGCAUAUUAAUGCUAGCAUUAUUGCUGGUGCAAGAACCAGUUGAUCAUCCGUGGCACGUUCUUACUCUUAGGCUUUAGGUGAGGAAAUAACUUCUGCAACUUCCACUCUUGUGAUUGAAAUUUCCUCAGAUGGGGAGGAAGCUUCUUUCAAUAUCCCUACAUUGGGAAUGGCUAUAUAUGUGCAUACCCUUUGGGAAUUCAUUAACCAGUAGAAGGAGUGGGAAAAUAUGUGCUAGAGGGCUCAUAUAAGAGGGCUGAGAAUUUUAGUUGUACCUUCUCCACAACUAUUUUAUUUUUAUAACUUGUGAAUUUGAGUUUUUGCUUUAGGUCUGAUUGUUUGUCUUGCUUGUGUAGCUACUUCAACAGUCACAAUCGAAGGGAUGUAUGCUAAUUUUAUAGACUGUUAUUCCUGUCCCCAAUAGAAAGAGAGCUAACAACCCUUCAAGUAAUCAAUUAAAAAGGGGUAGGACCAAAACUACAAUGGUUCGUUCCUGCGAGGUGGUGAUCAAUAAGCCAUAUCCUACUACAACUAAUCCCAACACACUCAUUGUGACGAGCCAAGGUGUAUUUGGGAUCCUUUUUAGUGAUUAUGUGUUGGGAUUUAGUGCUCUUAGUGUAGUUAUUUCAUCAUAGAUAUAUUUGUAAUUUUUCGAAUAGAUUGGUUUAGAUAAAAUUCCAUCAUUCACAUUUUUAUUUUUUGUAUUUGUCCUCAAUGGUUUUUACAUGCAAAACAAAAUGUAUAAGCAUAUAUUGGCUCACUGAUUACCUUACGUUUGACUAAUAUUAACGUACAUUAUGUGGUUGGAUCAUAAUGCAAGAAGACAACUUAUAUUAGUAGGUAAUCUAAAUGGUUUGUAGAUUGAGUAAAUCAAUUCAAGACUACUAUGUUGUUUAUUAAGUCUAAUUGGGGGAUACCUUGUCUUACGAUUGGAAUGGAUAACUCUCAAAAGAUAGAGACAUAAAUGUAACUGACUAGACUGACAGUAAAUCGGAUUGGACCCAAGUAGAGUAGAUCCUAGAUUUGUUUAUGGAUUUAUUCACUUAUGACAUUCAUAGUGUGACUUACCUCAAUCCCAAGCAAGUGAUACAUUGUGUGUGCAUGACUCGUGUACUUUGAUGUAUUGUUAACUUGUGUUCAAUUAGUAAUAGAUUCGAAAGUUGGUACGUUGGAUAUGCAGCUUUUGCAUAACAUAGCUUCACGUACAAUAGUAGAAUUCAUAACCCAAUAAAGAGUAAAUGAUAUCCUCUCAUUGGCAUUACAUAAUAGGUGGGAAACGAGUCAUUUGUCUUAAGAUGAAUUAUUUAAUUACUAUUUGUUAGUAAUUUAUUUUUCAUGAAGUAAGAUGUAAUGAUUAUCAGGAAAUAAAAUAGGAUUAUAUUGAGAGAACAAAUUUAUCCCAAAGAGAUUAAAGAUAUCCUAUGAGGGUACCACAUAUGGCAAGGUCAUUGGACGAACAUUUAAUAAAGCAACUUUUGUAAUGGUAUAUAAUACGGAGAGCUCAAUCAUGGGACUUUAGUGGAAUGACUUCAUGAUUAAAUAAUGUUGUAAUUAAUAGACAAAGAUUUGGAACUUAAUUAAAAAUUAUUUGAAUCCUAAUUAUAUAUGUCUAGUCGGUUCCUCCGUUAGCUAGAUAUAACAUUGAUGGUUUACAUUAAUUGAUGAAAUGGAAACAUGUGAAACAAUGGACUAGAGAAAUAGAUCGCAUGUAUCAUUAUCUGCAGUGAAUACGUCUUCUUGCAAUAAACAAGAAGUGACUCAAAAAUUAAUUUAUAUAUUUGAAUUAUUUAUUUAAUUAUUCUAAAAUUAAAUAAUUAAAGUUCAAAGAAGAAAUUAAAUUAAUUCAAUCAACAUAGUUUCUUAAGAACAAGAUUAAUUAAAUUAAUUUACUAAAAUUUUAAAAAGGUAAAGUGGUUAUGACUUUCAUUGAAUUAACUUUGGGUUGAGAAAAUAAUUUAAUAAGUAUAAUUAAUUAGAUUAAAUGAAUAAGUAAUAUUUUUGACAUAAGAAAAUAUUUAUUGGUUUUGAAAUAUUUCAAUAAUUAUCCCACAACUUCCUUCAUAUCUAAGUAAAAUAAUCACCUUGGUCUCCAAGUAAAAAGAUAAGGACAAGUAUAAAGAUAAGGAUAGAAUAAAGCAUAGCUUGACAAUAAUUUGCGAAUAGUGUAACAAUCAUGAAGAUCAAAGUAAAAAAAUGCCAAUUUUAUAAUGUAGUUGAACUAUCUUGAAGACAUAUCCAAACUGUUGUUCAAAGGUUUGUCCAAACAACUGUUCAAACAAGGACAAACCAUGGUGAUAAAACAUGUAAUUCGAGAAACUAUUCAAACAUGAGAAGAUACUUCAAAUACAAGACAACUAAGAUCCCAACAUUUUUCAUCUUUCUAUUCUUUCACCAUUCAAUUUUCUAUCUUUUUUAUUUCCUUUGUUCUCUACCAAGUAAAACUAUUUGUCAUUACAAAGGAAACACAUGCCCUUGGAUUCUAUUUUGCCGCUGGGCAUCCCAUGAAUAAGUUGAAUUUGGGUGCGUUGUUGGCUAAAAGGAUGGUGGAUUGGUGCUUGUGGCUGUUGGUAGGUUACAGUAGUUUAGCCUCCACAUGAUAGAGGAAUUCAAGUAAUAUUGUUGGUGUUUGACCUUGAGGAAGUGGACCAACAGGGCCCUUGUGUCAUAUAAUUGGAGCUUAAUUUAGGCAUGAUACACCAUGGGAGGCUUAUGUACCCUUACGUUAUGUAAUUAUCAACCAUGGCAUAAAGAAUUAUGGUCUAAUUAAUUCUGCUAGUCAAAUACUUUCUGGAAAUUAUAACUCUUUGCAAUUACAAAAAGUAUAAUUCAAUUAUUUUGCUUUCAAAAUCCAAUCACUGAAAAGUAAAAUCUUUCCAACGCUUUUUCUUUGUUCACAAAAUUUGAACUCAAGAUAUUAAUUUAUUCAACCCAAUAUUGGUCAUUUUAAAGUAUUUUGUUUAAAAAGUCUUUGUACUCUUUUAAAAUUUAAAAUUAAUUAUGUAUUUUAUUUUUGAGAUAUUAAAUCCCAUUACUUUUUUUAUUUAAAAAUUAUGGUCUCUCCAUUUAACUAUUACUGAUGUGAUAAUUAGAAAAUAAAUAUAAUAUUUUUUUAACUCUCAAUAUUUAUAAUUUUUUUAUUAAUUUAAUCAUUGCUCUUUAAAAGUUAAUACUUUUUUAUUAUAAUUUAUAUAAUCUUCUUCCUUUCUACGUAAGUAUCUGUUACACUGCAACUCUUUUUACUGCCAUUUUCCCGCAUAUCUUCCUCUCAUAUUACUUUUCUUUUCAUAAAAAAUAAUAUUAUAUAAUUUUCAUUGUACAAUUAAAACCUUAAAUUGUAAAUAUUAAGGGCUAAAAAAGUUAUUCUAUCUAUUUUAUAAUCGUCAUAUCAACAAAAUUAAUGAAAAAUGGACAAAGGGAUCAAAAUUUUUAAAUAAAAAAGUUGUUGAGUGUUUUUCCGUUCUGUCAUAUUGAAGGGGACAAUCAAAUAUUUAUGCACAUGAUUAUUAUUCAUGGAAUUGAUAUUCUUGGUAAGCUCUAUACAUGCUGGAUACGUUUAUUGUUCUGGUUUGCUUGCUAGACUUCGUAGCCCCCACAUGCGAACUCCUUGCACAUGUGAACUAGGAGAGCGAACUACCCUUGCUAGCCCCUCUGCCUUACCCCCACUACAAGACCUGCAUGCAUCCAAUUGGUUGGGCCUAACCGGGUCACAGGUAGGUGAUCCAGAUUUUAUCUGGGUUUCGGGUUGGUGAUCACAAAUACGUAACAAUCUAGUCCCCCUAUUGAAUUUAAAGAGGGUUAUAAAGUGGCACUCCUUAGAGCCAUCACUUCGCAUUUAUACAACUUGUUGAAUAAGCGACCACUAAAGCAUGACGUUAGUCUCACCACAUGUACGGAGGGUUAUAAAGUGAUGUUCCUUAAAGCUAUCACUUCACAUUUAGACAGUUUGUUGAAUACGCUGCGACCACUGAAGCAUGGCAUUAGCCUAGCCACAUGUGCGGGUGGAUCAUGUCUAUCUGCAUCUGGUCGUUGGUGCUCAUCGGUUAUUUGAACCGUCAAAACACGGGAAAGAGAAACUCUUUAAAAAUAGGGUUUCAAAAGCCUUAAAACUCACAAACUUAACACUUUCUGCAACCAGAGUUGAUCGAGGCUUUUCUUUAAAGUAAAUCUUGUUAACUUCUUCGUUUUAUAUUUUAACUUUCUUCUUCUUCUUCUUUUUUAUUGAAACUAUGUCAAGAAUGAGAGGGACUGGUGGUCGAAUAACUCCCAGCUAUCCACCAUGAGAGCGUGCAACAAAAGUCUCUGUAGAAGCCAACUUUUGCAUCUGCACUGCAAAAGAAGAAGAGAUGACUCAGGCUUUAGCCAUGCGAGGGAUUAAAAUCCCCAACUUCACUUACGACUUCCCCAUUCUUAAGGGGCCACAUAGGUUGAGUGACACUAGUGAUGGUAACUUACUGCUCCCCUCCACGUUCUAAAAGCUGGAUUCUAUUUGCCCUUGAACCCGUUCUUCUGUCAUCUUCUCCAAUAGUACAGGAUCGCUCUUGGUCAGCUUUCUGGGUUUUCUUGGUGGAUCGCAGUGGCUUACUUCAUCGACUGCUACCGAUGCAAUGAAGUGUCACAGUUGCGGUUUUUCAACGUUUAUGUUUGUUGAAAGCCCAGAACUAAGGGAAUUUACCGGGCUUCUACUAUUUCUCUCCUCACGAAUAGGUUAAGACUAUAAUCGCCAACUGAUGUUUUAAUCUUCGACUGAAUCGAGGGAAAUGCAUUAGGGUGGAAUGUAGGCUCAGCGAUUGGUUUGGUUUGCCAACAGAGUGGUCGCACCAAACAGGGACGUGUCUAUUUAAGUGAAGCAUUACAACAAAAAAUGGUUCAGCCCAACUUGAAAGGCUUCACACUAGCAAUCCUCUGGUUGUAGAGGAUGUUAUAAGUGCAAUGAAUGUGUUUCGGUAUUGUUUGAAAGGCUUUAACCCCAAUGGAUGGAAGCGGGGUGACAGUAGGGAAGUGGCCAAAGCUGCUGGUGCGUGACCUAAAAGACAGACAUGGAUUUAUAGGGCUAGAGAUGACCUGGGUCUGAUAUUAACAAGAUAUAACGAGGAGCCUAGGAACUUCUUUUACAGUUUCUGCAGGAUGAAACUUCACCCUUGGAUCUCAGCGGUCUCAUCGCACAAAGAAAGUUAUGCAAAUAUUAAUUUGAUAAUUGCUUCCGCUGACCUUGGAAUUAUUAUUGGUGCAGGCACAGCUCGCGGUUUUGGAAGCGAUUUAGAGGAAACUACUAGUCUGUCUCGUGAAAUUAACAAAGUCAUGGACCUGCGAGCUUCUCUGAAGGACAUGUACAAGAAGCGCAGAACCGAUGUGGGGCCUAUGAAUGUGGUUAUCAGCAGUAAAGAGGAGGCAAAUAGUGGAAGACUAGAGUAUUACCGUAAAAGGAAAGUAAAUCAUACUAGGCCUUCUUCUAUGAUAACCGCUACUCUUAUUUCUCCCUCAGUAAGCUCGCCAUCAAUAGCCCAUGCAAGUUUUUUUAUUGCUGCUCAUGGCAUCUCUCCUCUUUCUACUCCUCUUUGUAUUCCUUCUUUUUUACCUCUUGUUGAGGAAACCUUAUCUGGAGAGGAUGGUGAGCUAUUCCCGUGGUGUGGACAUAUGAGUAUGUGAGAGUACCCCUAUGACCCCAACAAAGUGGUGGAGAAGUGGAAGGCUUUUUUACCAGAAACUACAAAAAGGAAAAUGUACAUCGCUGAGUCAUCGAGUGGUGCAAAGAAUCCUCUACUGUCAAAGCUUACCUCAUCCUUGCAAGUUCUGCUGGCUGAGGCUACUAUGGUUAACUUAAGCCUUAAUGAAAACGUUGGUAAAGCUGAGGCCAGUCAAAGGGAGCUCGAGGAAACUAAAGGGGAUUUGGAGAGAACUCACAAGUUAUACCUCAAGAUUAGGAAGGAGAAUAAAGAUCUUUAUAGAUAAAUUAUAGAGAUCGUUGGUCGUCUGGAAGCUGCUAAGGUCAAAAUUGAUGAGUUAUUUGAGAAGGUCACAGUUGAAAAAAAAAAGAAAAGAGGCCGUAGACUGAUUUGAAGAAAAUGACUAAAGAGCAUAAGGUAACUGUGAAUCGAAUUGUUCAAGAAUAGGAAGCUGCUAUGGCAAGGUCAGAGUAGAAACAAACUGAGGCCUUAGAAAAAUUUAAAGGGAAGACUCUGAAGAACUUGAGCAACCUUGAUUAAUAGCUCAAGUCGAAUGAACUUAUGCAUGCCCAAGUUGUAGGUGGCCUUUUUGAUGCUCGCGGGGUUGACCUCGAUGCUCUCUACGAUGUGGAUAUGAACCAACUGAGUGUCAAUGUUCGCUACCCUUCCGAAGCUUCCUGGGAUGAGUUCACAUCCAAAAUAAAAAACUCAAAAGGCUUUUACCAGGAUGAAGACCUAGCCGAAACCAACACUACUCCUGUUGACAACAAUGAAGCCAAUGUUGCUCCUACUAAUGGUAAUGACCACAUUGAAGUUGCUGGAAGAGAAGGAGAAAAUGAGAUCCUCAGCGACCAUGAAUGGGCUGAUAAUAUGCUUUAAUUGUAACUUUGUAUUAGUUUUCUCAUCUUGAAAUGAAAAUUUAAACUUUGAAAAUUUUCAAAUUUGCUUGUUACUAUUAUGACAUCAUAUCCUUUUGUGGACUUAUUUUAUCUUUUCGCAUAACACUACUGCAUGUACCAAAAAUUUGAACUUAAACAAAUUUUUAAAGAUAUUCUCAGAAACUUUUAAUUGACUUAGUGUAAUUCAAUGGUUCUGUUUUAAGUGACUUAUCAUCAAUUUUGACUUGAGUGUUCUUAAACAUCUGUGUUGUGAAUUUAAGUAAGCAAACUCGAAGGAAAUUAAGUUACGAUCUCAAAUCAAUUAAGCCUUAAGUACCACACAAGAAGGUAGCUUUGCUAGCUGUGUUGGAUUUGCGAGCUUAACUAUGCGAGCUCUUAUAAUGUCAACUGGGAGCAUAGGUCUGCGAGCUGCUUUAGAAGUUGUGAUUUUAAAUCGUCAAACCUUUAAGACAUCAACUGGGAGCGUAUGACCGCUAGCUGCUUUAGAGUUUGCGAUAUUAAACCGUUAAACCUUUAUGACAUCAACUAGGAACGUAGGUUCGCUAGUUGCUUUGGAGGUUAUGAUCUUAAACCGUCAAACCUCUAUGACAUCAACUGGGAGCGUAGGUCUGCUAGUUGUAUUGGAGCUGCGAGCUUAACUCUUCGAGCUUUUAUAAUGCCAGCUGGGAGCGUGGGUCCGCUAGCUACUUUGGAGGUUACGACCUUAAACCGUCAAACCUUUAUGACAUCAGUUGGAGCGUAGGUCCGCUAGCUGUGCUGGAGCUGCAAGCUUAACUGUUGCAGUAUGAUGCGAAGUUCGUAGGGCCCAAUAAGAUUCCUGGUAGUUCAUUUAACCACACACCCUUAGCCUCAACAACCUUCUUUUUUAAGGUUGUUAGAAUCUUCUUAUUCAUUGCUUUAGUUUGCCCAUUUGUUUGUGGUGUUUUAAUAAAACUCUAAGCCAAAGCAAUCUGAAGAUCUACACAAAAAAUUUUGAACUUUUCCUGAAACUGUGUGUCAUUGUCUGUGAUAAUCAGGUGAGGUACACCAAACCAUCACACAAUUGAUUUCCAAAGAAAAGACUCCAUUUGUUUCUCUAUGAUGGUCGCCAAAGGUUUAGCUUCAAUCCACUUGGUGAAAUGGUCAACAACCACCACUAUGAAUUUUUCUGUACUAUAGCCAUCAGGAAUGAAUUGAGAAUAUCAAUUCCCCAAGUCACAAAUGGUCAAGGGCUCGACAUGACUAGAAGAGGUUUUACUGAUUGUCGAUGCACCUGAACAUAUCUUUGGCAGGAGUCGCAUGUGUGAACCAAAUGAUGUGUAUCCUUUUGAACCAUAGGCUAGUAAUACCCUUGCCUGAAAAUUUUUUGGGUAGGUAGUCUUCCACCCAAAUGGUCACCACAAAUGCCUUCAUGAAUUUCUUACAUUACGUACUCAACCUCAAACGAUGAUAAACAUCGCAGUAGCGGAUGCAAAAACCCAUUUCUAUAUAGUACACCCAUUAAAAGAGUAUACAUAACAAUUGUAAGUCAAAACUAAUUAUUUUAACUCACUAUGUAAUUGAGUAAUUUAAAAAUUAUCUACACAGUACUCAAAUGUCUAAUUUAUAGAUUAAAAUUUUUCGGGAGUAUGUAACUUGUGACAAUGACAUACCUCGCAGCUUUAUGUUGUAACCUUGUGAGCUCUUUCUUGUCCAGAUUAUCAUACACUCUUUGUAAUGUGCGAACUAAGUGAGUAAUCAAUGUCUCUUCCUGAUCUAUAGUCAAAACUUGUUGCAUGUCGUGGCUCGGGGUAUCAUUGUACUCCAAUAAAAUUUUUCCUCUUUGUUCAAUGACAAUAGAUGAUGCAAAUUUAGAUAAAGUAUUUGUACGUUUGUUAUCACUCCUUAUGAACUGCUUCAUCUAAACUUUGUAAAAUCCUGCGAGCAACUGAAUUGCAACUGAAUGAUAUCUCUUUAACACUACUUCCUUAACCUCGUACUCGUCACUCAUUUACUUCGUCACUAAUUGUGAAUUUGUAUGGAUGAUCAUAUCCUUCACUCCUAGUUGGCGUGCUAGUUGUAACCCUGAUAUUAAAACUUCAUAUUCUAUUGCGUUUUUGGAUGUUUGAAAUCCAAAAGUUAAUCUGUACCGCCAUUCAUUCCCACUGGGAUCAAUCAGAAGUACUCCUACUCCUGAACCUGUCUUGUUUGUGGAGCCAUCAAAAUACACUAGCCACAUUUUCCAAUUAUCGAUUGUAUCUACAACCCCCUGAGGUGGACUAACUACUGGGUUGCAUACAAUAGAUGAAAAAUAUAUCUUAAAAUAAAGUGUGAGUUGAUCAUAAAUUAUUAUUAAAACAAUAAGCUAAAUUGUAACAGCUCGUUUUUCAGUGGUGAUAGAACAACGGUUUUGGAACCACAAAUUUCCAUCGUGUUGACCCGUAAGUAUUAUUUAUAGAAUAUUUACGAAGUCAUUAGAGUCGUAUUAAAAUUUGGUUAAGAAAUUUUAUCGUUUAAAUAGUUAAUUAAAAAAGGACUAAAUUAAAAAAGAUGUAAAACUUGGUAAUUAUUGCAUUUAGAUGAUUUAAUAGCUUAAAUAUCAUAGGAGGGAGGACCUAAGUAGUAAUUAAACCCUAGUUAUUAUUGUUGGAUGGCUAUUGGAAUGAAAAUAAUAAAAUAACACAUGUUUUAAUGGCAAAAUAGUAAUUAACAUAAAAUUAAAACAAAAUAAUUAGAAAAAGAUAGCAUCUUCUUCUCCAUUUUAUUUUCAAAGUUGGCCAAAAACACCAUAACAGAGAAGCUUAAACAUUCAGCUGGUUUGAGCCUUGCAUGGGUAAGUUUUGAGUCCCGUUUUUAAUGAAUUUUAUGUUUUUGAGAUCGUUACAACUAGGUCCAACUAAUUCGUACCUUCCUUUCUGAAUCUGUUAAAAUUUUAGAAGUUUCCAUUGAUGAAUCUUGAUUUUUUUAUGAUAAUUAUGUGUUUGAAGCUUUGAUUGUGGUAUUUGGUUGUUUUAUAAAGUAAUUUUAAUUAGUUUUUAUUUAAGGAUUAAAUUAUUAAAAUGUCAAAAUUUUAAGGUUUGAUGGUGAACGAGAUGUAUAAUUAGGACUGUUUAAGGGCCAAUAUUAUUCGGUUGUAAAUUUUGACUUUAGAAAAUAGUUAAUUUGAUUAUUUUCAGGUUGUUAACUUGAGAAAAUGAUUUUCAGUUGUUAAUUUGCUAAAAGUUGGAAAAGUUAGGGGUAAUUGUGUAAUUUUGAAAAAUAAAAUGUAACAGCCUGAUUUUAGUGGUGUUGGAAACAGUGGUUCGAGACCACCAAAUCCAACGAGUAAGCUCGUAAAAUUUUUUAUUUAGUCUUUAUGAGUCAAAUAUGGUUUUAGAAAGAUUUUUGAAGUGGUAAUUUAUGUUUUAUAAUGAAUUAUUAGGUUAGAAUGGUAAAAACCUAGGUCAAGUGGUUUUAAAAAAUGAGGCAUCGAGAUCGUGUUUCUAUAAACUGAGCCGUAAAUAUUUUUAUAAAUAUUUACGGAGUGUCAUUAACAUAGUAUUAAAGCUACGUUAAAAAAUUUUAACGUUUCGGUAGUUAAUUGAUUAAACAGGACUAAAUUGAAAAAGGUACAAAACUUGCAAAUUGUAAGAAAUAAUUGAUUAAAUGACUUACUUAAUAAACAAUGGAGGGCUUAACGAGUAAAUAUGCCUAAAAUAAAAGGGUAGGACGACAUGUAAGUGUGAAAUAAUAAAAUAAAGUAAACGAAUGGCAAAAUUGUAUUUUGCAUGAAAUUAAACAUACAAAUUAAAAUUAAAAGAGAAUUCUAGACAACUUUCUUCUUCAACUUCAGUAAACCGACAUGGGAGAGAGUUUCUAAGCUAGUUUUUCUUAUUUUUGUUGCAUGUGAGUCUAAUUCUUACAUGUUUCUUGUAUUUUUAUGUUUUUGAGAUUGUUACAAUUAGGUACAACUAAAUCCUACCUUAGUUUUUGAUUUUAUUAGAAAUUUUGAAAGUUAUCAUUGAUGAAUAAUAGAUUUUUUUGAUGAAUAACAUGGAUUUAGAGUUUUAAUUUUGUUGUAUGAUGAUUUUAUAAAGUGAUUUUGUUAAAUAUUGAUUUUAGGAUCAAAUUUUGAAAAAGUUAAAAUAUUAGGGUUUGGUAUUAAAUUUCUAUUUUAUUAAGAGCUGUAUAAUAACCUAGAAUGUUUAGUUAAAUUAUUAAUUGAGGAAAAUUAGUUAAUUUGAUAGAUUAACUAGUUAAUGAACUAAAUUACAAAAGUUGUAAAACUUUGGGGUAAUUGUGUAAAUUUGAAAAUUGAAAGGUAGUAAUUGUGAAAUGAAUUGGAACUAAAAUAUAUGCUAAUGAAUGAGUAAUUUUAUAUUUUAGAUGAAGAUCCCGUAUAUACUCGUAAAAAAGGAAAAUUAGCAAAAUAGUCCUUAAACUUUUGCAAAUAUUACAAUUUAACCCAGGUAAGUUCGUACGGUUAAAAGUUAAUAAUUAUAUUGAUUUGAUGAAUGGUAUUAUAUAUAUUUAUUCUAUUGUUGAAAAUGAAUUAUUGUUGAAGUUAUAAUUUUGUAUUGAAUAAUCGGAUUAAAUGGAACGCGAGAUUUGAGUACAUUCGUUAUGUGGCGCAUGGCAAUAUUGGAGGAAAAAGAUGAAUAAUUAUCCAGGUAAAUCUGGGUUCAGUAUUUGUUGUGAACUCUCGUGUUUUACUUUCUGUUUAGCUAUUACGAGCUUCUAUUUAACUCAUAUGAGUUUCUAUUUAGCUCUUAUGAGCUUCUGUUAAACUCUUAUGAGUUUUUUUUCAGCUCUUACGAGCUUCUGUUCAACUCUAAUCGGUUUUUGUUUAGCUCUUAUGAGCUUCUAUUUAGCUCUCAUGAGCUUUUGUUUAGUUUUCGGGAUUCUUAAAAUGAUGUACUCUUAUACAUAACCCGUUCUUCAGUUUGGGAAAGAUUUGGUAAGGUGAUUUAUAUAUUGAAAUCGAAAGACAUAUUAUUUAUUUUUGGUAUUAACUUGAAACAAGUGUAUUCAUCGAUUUAAGUUGUGGUUGACAGGGAGUUUACAUGAAUGAUUUUAUUUAAUUGAUUUGUUAUAGUAGGUUCGGUAAGAUUUAUGUUUAACCCACCGAACUUACUAAGCUUCAUUAAGCUUAUGUGUAUUGUUUCUUGUCUUUGUAGAUUUUCAGAAGGUUGGGCGAUUGGAUCAACAUUCAAAUCACACUAUCCAAUUUAUUCCGGUAGUUUUUGAAACAUUCAAUACGAUUUAUAUGGCAUGUAUAGGGUUGGUGUAGAUUUGAUUAAAAUUUGUCUUGUGUAAAUGUUAGGAGUGAUGUUUUGUUUAUAAAAUCAAUUUAAAUAUAUAUUUUGGUUUGGAAAUGAAGUAAAUUUGUGAUGUGGGUGUGAAUGAUAUAUGUUUGUAUGUAUUUAAUUUGUGGUAAACUUUAGUAGAAUUGCUAAAUUGAUUAAAUAGGUAAGUUUGAGUAUUUGGGUAUGUGUGAUGAUAUGUUAUGUUUAAAACAUGAUUUUGGCUUGUUUUGAUUGCUUUGUUAUGGCUUAUUGAUGUGUUAAAAUGUUGUGUUUAGGUUGGUACCAAAAUGAGUGAGAAAUGUGGCCUUGAAAUGGCCUAUUUUCAUCCACACAAGUAGAGACACGGGUGUGUGUCUCAGCAGUGUCUGACACAUGGCCAAGUGACACGGCCGUUUGUCCCCUGUAACUUAGAAAUUUGUACAAGUCAGUAUCCUCACACGGCCUAGCAUACUGUCAUAUGGCUUGGCCAUGUGACCCAAGUAAGAGAGCUCCUAAGUUUGGACACGGGCUGGGACACGGCCGUGUGCCCUUAUUUCGAAUGCCCACACGGCCUGAGACACGGGCGUGUCUCUUGAUCGUGUGAGCCACACGACCUGGCCACAUGGGCGGGUGUCCCCUGCGCCUUUGAAAAUUUUUUAUGUUUCCUGAAAAAACAAAUUUUCUCUAAGUACCCGGUUUAGUCUUGAUUUAUUUUUAAUGUGUAUUUUGGGCCUCGAUGGCUCAUAUAAGGGACUUUAUGAUUGAUUUAUGAUAUGAAUACUAUAUGAUGAGAAAUAUCAGUUUUCUUGAUUUGUAAAUAUCGGUAAUACUUCGUAACCCUAUUCUAAAAACGGAUACGGGUUAGGGGUGUUAUAUUUGUGGUAUCAGAGCAUCAAUUUAGCCGAUUCUCAGACUAAACGUAGCAUGUGAAAUAUCUAAAAAUACAUGCCAUAUAAAUCUGUGAUAGUGUGAUGCGUAUGAUCCGAUCUAACCUUUGUUUUCUUAUAGAUUGUAAAGAUGUCAGAUGGAUCUGAACGUGCUGAAAAUGAUGAGGUUAAUAGUAAAGCACCAACUUCUUAACAUGGGAUGAGUAGUAAUGUCCUGAUUCCUCCGGUUCAGGAACAAGAACUUUAAAUCAUGUUCUUUAGGUAUAUGAACCAGUGGUUCAACGAGUUUAUGCAAGAAAGAAAUCCGGCUCAGCUACCUCCACCCCCUACUAUACCAUUUGUAGUACCUCCGGUUGCACCUCCACAUCCUCCAGUGACUGAACCUACUAGACGUACUCCAAUUGAGAAACUCAGAAAGUAUGGUGCUGAAGAAUUUGGAGUAGGUCAGAGGAUGAUCCAGUUAAAGUUGAGUAUUGACUUCAAAAUAUAAUAAGGGUCUUCGAAGUAAUGGCUUGUUCCCCUGAUGAUUACCUUAUAUGUGUUGUUUCAUUAUUGAAAAAGGAAGCAUAUAACUAGUAGUCGACAAUAGUAGCUGUGGUACCAAAAUUGAAAAUUUCCUGGGAAUUUUUCCAAACUGAAUUUAAAAAGAAAUAUGUAGGAAAAAGGUAUUUGGAUAAAAAAAAAGAGAAAAUUUCUUGAGUUACGUCAAGGAUAUAGAUCAAUAGCUGAGUAUGAGAGAGAAUUUGUAUAUCUCAGUAAAAAUGCUCAAGAAAUUGUGUCAACUGAAGCAAAAAUGUGUAUCUGGUUUAAAGAUGGGUUGAAUGAUAAAAUUCGAAUGAUGAUCGGAGGUAAUGAAAUACAAGAAUUUGUUGUCUUAUCUGAUCGUGCAUAGAAAAUGGAAAAAGUGUACAACUGUAAGAUACAACGAGACAGGCGGAAUCGAGAAUUUUACAAAAGAGACUCUUCUAAAUCAUUUUCGGCAUCACUAGAGAAAAAGUCUAAAGAUGAUUUUAGUCGAGCUACCUUAGUGCCUUAACGUUCAAAUAAAAACAAGACGAUCCAAUACGAUUUCAGGGUGCCUACUAGACUAAUUGAUAGUGUAGAUAGUGUACAACUUACUCUAAAGCCUAAAUAUAGAUACUGUGGAAAAUAUCACCCUGGCGAGUGUAAAAGUAAAAUGGGAGCCUGUUAUAGGUGUGGAUCAACUGAUCAUUUUAUUCGUGAUUGUCUCAAAUUGCUAAGAGAAGAUUAUGUGCAGAAAGAACAGGAAUUGUCUACUUCUCAGAAAAGUAGAUGCUCGGACCAAAAUAGUGCUACUAGUACUGCUCAUUCAGGAAUGAAAGAUACUGUUGUUCGGUCAGAAGCUAAAGCACCUGCACGUACCUACGCCAUUCGAGCUAGAAAGGAAGCUACUACUCCAAAUGUGAUUGCUGGUAUAUUCUAUCUCUUUGAUGUUACUGUGUAUGUUUUGAUUACCCUGGGUCAACUCAUUCUUAUAUUUUCACUGUAUUAGUAACAAAAAGAAAGUUGCCUUGAUUAUGAUAUUAAAGUUACUAAUCUAUUAAGUCAAAGUGUGAUAGUUAAUUUAGUUAGUCGAAAUUGUCCACUGAAAGUUAAGAGCUGUGAAUUCCCUGCUGAUUAGAUGUUGUUACCCUUUCGGGAAUUUGAUGUUAUCCUGGCAAUGGAUUGGUCAUUUUUGCAUGAUGUUGUGGUAAAUUGUAGACAGAAAUGGAUUGAUUUGAAAUGUCAGAUAGGAUAGAUGAUUUCUGUUGAGUCUGAGAAUCCGAAAGAUGUUGUUAAAAUUAUUUCAGCUUUUUCUGCUCAGAAAUUGAUACAAAAAGGUAACGAAGCAUUUCUAGCAUAUAUCCUUGAUACCCGAGAUUUAGAAUUGAAGCUAGAUCAGUUACCAGUUGUUAGUGAGUUUGCUGAUGUAUUUUCUAAAGAAUUGUCAGGUUUACCUCCUAACCGUGAAGUGGAGUUUGUAAUUGAUUAGAUUCCUAGAACUGCUCUGAUAUCAGUAACACCAUACUGUAUAGCACCAGCUGAACUAAAGGAAUUAAAAGCAUAGUUGCAAGAGUUAUUAGACCGAGGGUUUAUCAGACCAAGCAUGUCUUCUUGGGGUGCACCUGUUUUGUUUGUGAAAAAGAAAGACAAUUCUUUGAGAUUGUGUAUAGACCACAAACAAUUUAACAAAGAUACAAUUAAAAAUAAAUACCCUUUACCACGUAUCGAUGAUUUGUUUGAUCAACUGAAAGGUGCCGCAGUGUUCUCAAAAAUAGACCUUAGAUUUGGGUAUUAUCAAUUGAAGGUUAAAGAAUGUGAUGUGCUAAAAAAUUCUUUCAGAACUCGUUAUGUUUAUUAUGAGUUUUUGGUAAUGCCAUUUGGUUUGACUAAAGCCCCUGUUGCUUUUAUGGAUUUAAUGAACCGAAUUUUUCAACCUCACUUGGAUAGAUUCGUGGUUGUGUUUAUUGACGACAUACUAAUCUAUUCAAAGACAGAAUCCGAGCAUACACAACAUUUAAGGAUCAUACUACAGACUUUGAGAAAAAAGCAGUUGUAUGCAAAGUUUAGUAAAUGUGAAUUCUGGCUUCGUGAGGUUGGAUUUUUAGGUCAUAUAGUAUCAGCUGAUGGGAUUCGAGUUGAUCCGAGUAAAGUUUUUACUGUGAUAAAUUGGAAAACUCUGAAAAAUGUUUCAGAAGUGCAAAGUUUUCUGGGUUUACCAGGUUACUACCGACGCUUUGUCAAAAACUUUUCAAUUAUUGUUUUACCGAUGACCCAAUUAUUUCAAAAAAUGUGGAGUUUGUUUGGUCCGAAGAGUGUCAACAGAGCUUUGAUCAGCUAAAGAAAAUGUUGACUGAAACUCCACUCUUGACUCAGCCAGAAUCUGGUGUAGCGUAUGUUGUUUAUAGUGAUGCAUCUCUCAAUGGUUUGGGUUGUGUACUGAUACAGUCAGGAAAGGUAGUAGCUUAUUCUUCUCAACAAUUAAAGUCGUAUGAGAAGAAUUAUCCUACACAUGAUCUUAAGUUGGCUACGAUCAUAUUCACUUUGAAGAUUUGGAGACAUUAAUUAUACAGCGAGAAAUGUUACGUGUUCACAGAUCACAAAAGUUUAAAGUAUUUCAUGACCCAGAAAGAAUUGAAUUUAAGAAAGAUGUGUGGUUAGAAUUACUCAAAGAUUACGAUCUAGUUAUUGAUUACCACCCGAGAAAGGCUAAUGUGGUUGCGGAUGCAUUUAGUCGAAAAUCAUCAUUGUUUGCACUCCGAGCAUUGAACGCUCAUUUAACUCUUAGUGAAGAUAGUUCUGUAUUAGCCGAAUUGAGAACGAAACCCCUGUUUCUGUAACUGAUUCGAGAAUUGCUAAAUGACGAUCCGAAAUUGGUGUAGAAACGACAGAUGGUUCAGGACAAUCUGAGUUCAGAGUAUAGUGCUGAUGGUAGUGGUAUGUUGCGUUAUUGCAAUAGAAUUUGUGUUUCGAAUAAUUUGGAUUUGAAAAAUGAUAUUCUUUCUAAAGCUCAUAGUAGCACGUACUCCAUUCAUCCGGGGAGUACAAAGAUGUAUUGUGACUUGAAACAGAUGUAUUGCUGGCCGGGUAUAAAACAGGAAAUCUAUGAAUUUGUAGCUAAACGUUUGAUAUGUCAGCAGGUGAAAGCAAAACAUUAGGUACCAACGGGUUUAUUACAACCUGUUUUGAUUCCUAAAUGGAAGUGCGAACGAGUCACAAUGGAUUUUGUAUCUGGAUUACCUAUAACUCCGAGAAAAAAAGAUUCGAUCUGGGUGAUUGUUGAUAGAUUGACUAAAUCGACACAUUUUAUUCCAGUAAGAACAGACUUUACACUGGAAAAACUAGUGGAACUGUAUAUAUCUGAGAUUGUAAGAUUACAUGGAGUUCUGACCUCUAUUAUUUUGGAUCGAGAUCCAAGAUUUACAUCGAGAUUUUAGAGUAAUUGCAGCACAACAUUUCAUCCUCAGACUGACGGACAAUCAGAACGAGUAAUUCAGAUACUGGAAGAUAUGUUGAGAUAUUUUAUACUCAAAUUUGGAGGUAGCUGGGAAAUGUGUUUACCGUUAGCUGAAUUUGCAUAUAAUAAUUAUCAAUCCAGUUUAAAAAUGGCACCAUUUGAAGCUCUUUAUGAGAGAAUAUGUAAAACACCAUUAUAUUGGUCUGAACUGAGUGAAUCCAAACUAGUAAGAGUUGAUUUGAUCCGCGAGACUGAGGAUAAAGUUUAGAUUAUCUGGGAUAGUUUGAAAGAUGCUUCUGAUCGUCAGAAAUCGUAUGCAAAUUUGAAAAGAAAAGAUAUAGAAUUUGCUGUUGGGAUCGGGUAUUCUUAAAAGUCUCUCCAUAGAAGAAAGUAUUACGGUUCGGCAAGAAAGGAAAGCUGAGUCCAAGAUUUAUCGGACCGUAUGAAAUCGUUAAAAGAAUCGGCCUUGUAGAUUAUAAAUUAGCUUUGCCUCUUGAACUUGAGAAAAUUCAUAAUGUGUUCCACGUAUCGAUGCUGAGACAGUACAGAUCUAAUCCUACACAUGUGAUUCCUCAUAGUGACAUUGAGCUACAGCCAAAUAAAACAUAUUCGGAAGAACAUGUGAGAAUUUUAGCUCGAAAGGUUAAAGAAUUGCAACAUAAACGAGUACCAUUGGUAACAGUAUUGUGGCAUCGUCAUGAUUCGGAAGAAGCGACUUGGGAAACAGAAGAAUCAAUGAGGUCAUAAUUUCUGAAUCUAUUCUCAGGUAACAAAUUUCAAGGACAAUUUCUUAAAGGGGAAGAGUUGUAACAGCCUGAUUUUCAGUGGUGUCGGAAACAGUGGUUCGAAACCACCAAAUUUGACCAGUAACCUCGUAAAUUUUAUUAUCUAGUAUUUACGAGUCAAAUGUGGUUUUAGAAAGAUUUUUGAACUGGUAAUUUAUGUUUUAUAAUGAAUUAUUAGGUUAGAAUGGUAAAAUCCUAGGUCAACUGGUUUUAAAAAAUAAGGUAUCGAGACCUCGUUUCUAUCAACUGAGCCAUAAAUAUUUUUAUAAAUAUUUACGAAGUGCCAUUAAGAUAGUAUUAAAGUUUCGUUGAAAAAUUUUAACAUUUCUGUAGUUAAUUGAUUAAAAAAGACUAAAUUGAAAAAGGUGCAAAACUUGCAAAUUAUAAGAAAUAAGUGAUUAAAUGACUUAAUUAAUAAACAAGGGAGGACUUAAGGAGUAAAUAUGCCUAAAAUGAAAGGGCGGGAUGGCAUGUAAGUAUGAAAUAAUAAAAUAAAGUAAAUGGAUGGAAAAAUUGUAAUUUGCAUGAAAUUAAACAUACAAAUUGAAAUUAAAAGAGAAAUCUUAACAAUUUUCUUCAACUUUAGUAAACCGACAUGGGAGAGAGUUUCUAAGUUGGUUUUUCAUGUUUUUGCUGCACGUGAGUCUAAUUCUUACCCGUUUCUUGUCAUUUUUAUAUUUUUGAGAUUAUUACAAUUAGGUACAACUAAACCCUACCUUAGUUUUUGAUUUUAUUAGAAAUUUUGAAAGUUACCGUUGAUUAAUAAUAGAUGGUUUUCAUGAAUAACAUGGAUUUAGAGUUUUGAUUUUGUUGUAUGAUGAUUUUAUAAAGUGAUUUUGUUAAAUAUUGAUUAUAGGAUCAAAUUGUGAAAAAUUUAAAAUAUUAGGGUUUGGUAUUAAAUUUAUGUUUAAUUAAGAGUUGUAUAGUAGCCUAGAAUAUUUAGAUAAAUUAUUAAUUGACAAAAAUUAGUUAAUUUUAUAGAUUAACUAGUUAAGGGACUAAAUUAAAAAAGUUGUAAAUGUUUGAGAUAAUUGUGUAAAUUUGAAAAUUGAAGGGUAUUAAUUGUGAAAUGAAUUGGAACUGAAAUAUAUGCUAAUGAAUGAGUACUUUUAUAUUUUAGAUGAAGAUCCCGUAGAUACUCGUGAAAAAGGAAAAUUAGCGGAAUAGUCCCUGAACUUUUACAAGUAUUACAAUUUAACCCAGGUAAGUUCGUACGGUUAAGCUUUAAUAAUUAUAUUGAUUUGAUGAAUGGUAUUAUAUAUAUUUAUUCUAUUGUUGAAAAUGAAUUAUUGUUGAAUUUAUAAUUUUGUAUUGAAUAUUCAGAUUAAAUGGAAUGCGAGAUUUGAGUACAUUCGUUAUGUGGUGCAUGGCGAUAUUGGAGGAAAACGACAGCAAAUUACCCAAGUAAACUGAGGUUCAGCAUUUGUUACGAACUCUCAUGUUUUACUUUCUUUUUAGCUUUUAUGAGCUUCUGUUAAACCCUUAUGAGCUUCUGUUCAACCCUUAUCGGAUUCUGUUUAGCUCUUAUGAGCUUCUGUUCAGCUUUCGGGCUUCUGAAAACGAUGUACUCUUAUUCGUAAGUCGUUCUUCAAUUUGGGAAAUAUUUGGAAAGGUGAUUUAUAUAUUGAAAUCGAAAGAAAUAUUAUUUAUUUUUGGUAUUGACUUGAAACAAAUGUAUUCAUCGAUUUAAGUUGUGGUUGACAGGGAGUUUACAUGAAUGAUUUUUAUUUAAUUGAUUUGUUAUAGUAGGUUCUGUAAGAUUUAUUUAAUUGAUUUAUGUGUAUUGUUUAUUACCUUUGUAGAUUAUCGAAAGGUUGAGCGACCGAAUCAACACUCAAAUCACACUAUCUAGCUUAUUUUGGUAGUUUUUGAAACAUUUAAUACGGUUUAUAUGGCAUGUAUAGGGUUGGUGUGGAUUUGAUUAAAGUUUGGCUUGUGUAAAUGUCAGGAGUGAUGUUUUGUUUAUAUAAUCAAUUUAAAUAUAUAUUUUGGUUUGGAAAUGAAGUAAAUUUGUGAUUUGUGUGUGAAUGAUUUAUGCUUGUAUGUAUUUAAUUUGUGGUAAACUUUAGUAGAAUUGCUAGAUUGAUUAAAUAGGUAAGUUCGAGAAUUUGGGUAUUUGUGAUGAUAUGUCAUGUUUAAAACAUGAUUUUGGCUUGUUUGAUUACUUUGUUAUGGCUUAUUGAUGUGUUAAAAUGUUGUGUUUAGGUUGGUACAAAAAUGGGUGAGAAAUGUGGUCUUGAAAUGGCCUAUUUUCGUCCACACGGGUAGAGACACGGGUGUGUGUCUCAGUCGUGUCUGACGCACGGUCAAGUGACACGGCCAUGUAUCCCCUGUAACUUAGAAAUUUGUACAAGUCAGUAUGUUCACACGGCCUAACACAUGGGCGUGUGGCUUGGCCGUGUGACCCAAGUAAGAGAGCUCCCAAGUUUGGAAACGGGCUGGGACAUUGCCGUGUGCCCCUAUUUCGAAUGCCCACACGGCCUGAGACACGGUCGUGCCUCUUGACCGUGUGAGCCGCACGGCCUGGCCACACGGGCGUGUGUCCACAGCACCUUUGAAAAUUUUUUAUGUUUCCUGAAAAAAAAAUUUCUCUAAGUACUGGGUUUAGUCCCGAUUUAUUUCUAAUGUGUAUUUUGGGCCUCGAGAGCUCAUAUAAGGGACUUUAAGAUUGUCUUAUGAUAUGAAUACUAUAUGAUGAGAAAUAUCAGUUUACUUGAUUUGCAAAUACUGGUAAUACUUCGUAACCUUGUUCCGGCGACUGAUACGAGUUAGGGGUGUUACAUAAAAGGGUAUAAAAUGCAGAGUUAACUAGAAUAUGAAAUGUAAGCUAAUAAUUGGGAAAUUGUACAUUUUAGAUUAAGACCUUUUUGAUUUACGUAAAAAGGGGAAAAUUACAAAAUAGUCCUUAAACUUUUGCAACUAUUACAAUUUAGUCCAGGUAAGCUCGUUCAAUUUUUAAUUUAAUAUCUAUAUGAAUUGUAUGAUGAUAUGGUAUGAAAUAGUGGAUGUUAAUUAUUCUAUUGGUGAUGUAAAGUUGUUUGGGAAAAUGUUAUUGAAUUUUGGUACUUGGGCCGAAUGAAUGCGAGAUAGAGAACAACUGAAUGACAGCGUGCUAUGCAGAUAUUGGAGUGGAGAUUGAUGUGGUGUGUUUUAUAUAUUUUUCCCGAGUAUACUGAGGUUCAACAUUUGUUGCAAAUCCUUGUAUUAUACUAUCUUGUUCUGGCGUGUUAUGAGGGGCAGAUGUAUAGCCUACGGGCUAGGCACUUAGUGUCGAGGCGUGUUAUUGGUUGGAUUAGCUCUUGUGAGCAUUUGGCAUGUUAACGGUUGGAUUAGCUCUUAUGAGCAUUUGGGGUGUUUUGGUUAGAUUACUUAUGUACUCGUAUCUGUAAGUCAUCCAUCAAGUCGUAAAUUAUUGUAUUAUAACAUGUUUAAUGACUUUGAAUGACAUGACAUGUACUAGAUAUCUUGAAUUGACUCUGUUAUGGACAUGUAUGUUUUCCGGAAAUUAUUAUUGAGCUUUAAAUUGAACUAUGUAAUUCACUGGUUUGAAAUUGUGGAUGACAGGAAACAUUUGUUGUUGAAUUAUGUUUGAUUAAAUUGUUAUAUUUACUUCGGUAAGAUUUAUUGUUUCUGUCUCUUGAACUUACUAAGCUUCAAUAAGCUUACUUGUGUUCAUUUUUGUUUCUUGUAGAUACUUUUGAGGGUUGGAUGAUCAGAUCAACACUCAAGUCACACUAUCCCUCUGAUUUCAGUAGUUUUUGAACGUUUAUUUUGGAUUAUAUGGCAUGUAAUAAGUUGUUAUGUCAAUAACCUCGUUUGAUAUGUAUAUAUAUCUAUAAGGCAUGUAAUUAGUUAAUCUUUUAAUCGAUGUUGUCUUGUAAUAUGAUGAUUGUUACAUGAUUGCUAGGUUUGGUGGUGAAUAUAGUUCAUUUUGUGAAGUUGUGGUUAAGUUUUUGGUAAGCUUUGCUAUGAAUAAAUAUGAUACAUGUUUGAUAUUAACUUAGCAAGUUAUAAGGUUAGGUAUUCAGCUUAAAAUUGAUAAGAUUAUAUAUUUUGAAUGGAUGAAUAGUUGAUGAUUUAUAUGUUUGUAUAAAUGUGUAUACUUGCGGUACCAUUGAGGGUACAUUGGUUAGGCAUUUAAGAUGGUUGAUUUAGCAUGAUUUGAGCAUGUUUAAUGGAAUUUUGAAUAAGUCUAAUGGUUGGUAAAUGGAUUGCUUAGUGUUCAAGAAACCUUGAAAUGGUAAACUUAAUGUUUAACGUUCAUUUAGGUGCACAGGGCCUAGGACACGGGCUAUCACACGGCCGUGUGCCACACAUGGUCUAUGACAUGGCUGUGUGUAACAAGUCAGUGAGUCACACGGUCUGCGACAUAGUAGUGUGUAUUAAGUCAGAAAGUUACACUGUAUGGCACACAAUUUGCGACACGGUCGUGUGUAUCAAGUUAGUGAGUUACAUGGUUUAAGACACGGGCUGGGACACGGCCAUGUAUCCCAAUUUCGAAUACUCACAAGGCCUGGGCUAUGUCACACAGCUGUGUGUCCCUUGUUUUUGAAAUUUUUCAUAUUUUCCUAAAAUUUCCUGACUUAUUUCAAAUUAGUCCCUGAAAAUUUUAAGAUUAUUUCUUUAGUCCCUUUAAGCUUGAUUUAAGCCUCGUAAAUGUAAGUUAUUAUUGUAAUUUAAUUACUUUAUGGUAUUUGAGAAAUUAUAUUGUAAUGAUCAUGAUUUUUACCUGUUUAUUUCUAUUAACUUGCUAUAGCAUUCUCGUAAUCCCUAUUCUGGUGACGGAUACGAGUGUUACAUAAAUUUUUGUUGUUCAUCAAUUGUUCACAGGAAAUUAUGAGUACCAUACACGUUUAAUUUCAUAAAAUAUUCAUAGCUCUAUAUUUCAAGUUACACACUAUAUUACCUACUGGAUCAACAGUCUUUUCAAAAGAGCACUCGACUAUAAAGUCGACUAAUAUCUGUCCUUUUAUGGUUGUUCUCAGGGCAAACUCCAUGCCAAAUUCAGCUAACUCGAUACUUCACUUCUUCACCCUUCCCGAAGUAUCAGAUUUAGAUAAAAUUUCUUUUAUAAGCUUAUUAGUCAUGACGACAACUAGAUGAGCCUAGAAGUAGGGGCGUAGCUUACGAGUUGCAAAAAUUAGAGUAAAGAUGAAUUUUUCAAUUUUUGAAUACCUCAGCUCGCCGUUCUAGAGUACCUUACUGACGUAGUAUACUGGGAAUUGAUGAACGUCUUCUGUUCUAACUAGGACUACUGCAAUUGUUUCCUAUGAGGUAGCCAAGUACAAAUAGAGGGUCCCUCCCACUCGUGGUAACUUCAGAAGUGGUAGGGAGGUGAUGUAUAACUUAAGCUUUUCAAAGGUUGAUUGAUACUCCUCAGUCCACAAAAAGGAGGUCAUCAGGGCUUUGAAGAAGGGAAGGCAUUUAUCCGCUAUCCUAGAGAUAAACCUGUUAAGCGCCAUUAUUUUUCCCGUGAGGAACAGAAUAUCUAUAAUAGUCUGCGGAUGAGGCAUUUCCAAGAUAGUAUGAAUCUUUUUUUGGUUCACCUCUAUCCCCCUUUCUGAGAUCAUAAAGCUUAAAAACCUACCAGCUCGUACACCAAAAGCACACUUCUCAAGGUUCAACUCCAUGUUGUGGGUCCUCAAAACUACGAACACCUCUGACAAGUUUCGCACGUGCUCUUCCAUGGUUGUACUUUUUACUAACAUAUCAUCGACAUAAAUUUCAAGACCAUGCCCUAUCUACUUCUUAAAAAUCUUGUUCACCAGUCUCAAAUAGGUUGCUUCGACAUUCUUGAGGCCAAAAAGCAUAACCCGAUAGCAGAACAACCCCUCCUCAGUGAUGAAAGUUAUUUUCUCAUGGUCAUAUUGAUCCAACAAAAUUUGGUUAUAACCCUAAAAGGUGUCCAUUAAGCUCAUGAACUUGUGACCUAAAGAAGCAUUAACCAAACGGUCAAUCGAGGGUAAAGGGAAGUUGUCCUUAGUGCACGCUUUGUUGGGGUUGGUGGAGCAAUACACAUCCUCAAUUUGCCAUUUUUUUUGUUCACCAUAACCACAUUUGUGACCCAAUUUAGAUACUCAACUUCCCUGAUAAAACCUGCCGACAACAAUUUGGCUACCUCUUGCCUCACGGCUUCCAUCACCUGCGAAGCAAACUUUCUCUUUUUCUUCUUAACAAGCUUGGCUUCAGGAAGUACAUUUAGCCUGUAGACAAUUACCUUACGAGUCAAUCCCUGGCAUAUCUGCUGCUGACCAGGCAAAACAUCGGAGUCCGCUUUCAAAAACUGAACUAAAGUGUCUUUUUCUUCAGGUAAUAAUAUUGAUGAAAUUUUAAUUUUCCUUUGUUCAUCAUCGUAAAAUAGCUGUAAAGCCUCUGUGUGCUCUACUACUUCAGGUUUCUUACUUCUCUCUUCAUCCAUCUCAUCUAGUCUAUCUAAGUCAAAGGCUUGACUAACCAACUUUGUGCUCUACGAACUCUUCCCCUCGGUUGCAGACUCUCGUGCCUGUUUCACAAACAACAUGUGACAUUGUCUCGUUGUUCGCUGGCCAGAUCGCCUGAACUCCAUCAUUGUCCUUAUCGAAAAUUUGAUCUUUAUACAAAAUGUCACCAUUACUAUCUUUACUGUUCUUAUAAUCGGGCACCCAAAAAUGGCAUUAUACUCCACAGGAUGGUCUACGAUAAAAAACUGGACAUAUUCUGUAGUCGUAUGCUCACUAUCUCCCAAGGUGACUGGCAAAGUGGGUAGAACCAUUUACCUCAACUAGGUGGUUAGCAAAACCAUAUAGCGGACUAGCAUUAGGCAAAACCUGUUCCUUCAAGCCCUUCUUUUGAUAAGCUUCCUGGGUUAUAACCUCUAUCGCGCUCCCACUAUCAACCAAUAUUCUUCUUACCUCAAAACCUAUGAUCGUUACAGAUAUUACCAUCGGGUCAUUCCUUUCUUCAUCACACAUGAACUCCUCAUCGUCAUUACCAAACUCAAUAUUCCAUUUUCCCUAUUGAUAUGCCUUUUAGGUGGAUUUACUAUCAUAACACUCAUCAUGUGGCUUUUUCUCUUCGCAUUAGAACUUGCUCAGACCUCAUCUAUGCCUACAAUCACAUGGAUAGUACCUUGAUCCACAAACUCAGAGAGCUCAUCAUUUCUCACUGUCUCUUCGAUAGCAUCUUUCAAAGUAAAAUAAUAUUCGAUUUUGUGCACCACAUCAUUAUAGAAAGCACACCUAUCCCUAGAAUUUAACCUUUUGGAACUCUGCCUCAUAAGAGAUAGCUUAAGCAGGCUACCUAAACUCUUUACCUGGUUCAAUAUGUAUACAUGAGUAGCGUUCAAUGGAGUGUAGGCCUCAAACAUACCUUGAGAUAUAUACCUUCUUGUUUGCUUGGGUUGAGAUCCCUGAGGAGUCUUGGGAGAAUUACCCUAUACUUGCAUUCUCUGUUGUCUAUUAGCUCGGGCACGUAGAGCCUAGUUGGGUUACCCCUACCUACUGCGAGCUCUUUUUCUCUUUCUGAACUGUCUUCCAUCUCAUUGAAAUGUGCCACGCAUCGCUCUCUUAAUAUCUUCUGCUUCCGCGAACUUGUGAGCCCACUCAUACAAGUUCGCUAAAGUCUGAGGCUUGUUACCAGAAAGGAGUAUUGUACAUGUUCAUUUUGCACCCCAUGAUGAAGGCAUCGAUAGCCCAUUGGUCCUCAAGGUUCUUCGUAUUCAGUGUUGCUGCAUGAAAUCGCUUCACGUAAUCUUAGAGAGACUCUAUUUCUCUCUGUUUUACGAACAUUAAUCCCAUAGGUGUGCUCAUGAUCGUUCUGUGAGCCUUGAACCUUCUUAGAAACAUCUGACCCAAUUGGGACAAACUUCGGACUGAGCCUUAAAGAAAAGAUAAGUACCAAUAAUUCGUACUUCCCUUAAGCGUUGUGGAAAAAGAUUUACACUUCGUAGGGUCCAAGGCUUCCAUUACAUUCAUAUAAUCGUUAUAUUGCAUCAGGUAGGCUCGUAGGUCUCUCCUACCCUCGAACAUGUCUUUUAAGACCUUAAAAUCACGCAGUAGACUUAUUGCUGCUACCUCCGGGGCCAAUGGAUUGUUAGAACAGAAAAGUCAGUCCAUGUCCCUAGACUCAAGAGGCAAUGCCCUCACAUCUCGCCACAAUGCAUCCAUCUCAUUUUGCCAUUCCCUCACAUGUAAGCCUGGGCCUUCAUCCUACAUGGUCAUUUUAUCGUGAAAGUCAAAAUCAUCAGAUUGUACCUUUAUUUUAAGUUCUUCAUUUUGUUUUAAUAACUCCUGUUGAAAAGUUUGUUGCUGUUCAAACCAUGCAUUUUGUGCAACCAUUUGUUCCCUCAUAAACUUCAUCUACUCUUAAAGAGCAAGGAAUUGUUGCGGUGAUGCUUAUUGGUUGGAAGGAAGUGGCAAUCUGUGACCAGAAGGAAGGUUUAAGUCGAAUGGGCUUGAAACUCUCGGGUGAGCCAAAUUACCUAGAUUUUUCAACCGAUCAGCAAACUAGUCGACAAACAAGUCCGUUCCAGCAAGUUGGCUGCAAUAACUCUAGGCUUCAAGUUGUCCAAGUGAAAGAUCGAAAGGGAAAUUUUCAUUCGGGUAAGCCAUCAUAACUUUGGCAAUUUUUAUCAAACUGAAAAGAAAUUCGUUGGUCGAAAAUAUGUCCACGCUCACCGCACCAAUUGUUGAAUUUUUUUUGUUGUGUCUCAUUGAAGGGGACAAUCAAAUAUUUAUACACAUGAUUAUUGUUCAUGAAAUUGACAUUCUUGGUAGGCUCUAUGCAUGUUGGACACGUGUAUUGUCUGGUCUGUUUGCUGGACUUCGUAGCCCUCACAUACGAACUCCUUGCACAUGUGAACUGGGAUUGCAAACUACCCUUGUUAGCCCCUUUAGCGAACCCCCACUACAAGACCUACACACAUCCAACUGGUUAGGCCCAACCGAGUCACAGGUAGGCAAUUUAUAUUUUAUCUAGGUUUUGGGUUGGUGAACACAAAUACAUAAUAAAAGUACAAGAGCUUAAUAUUUAAAUAUAAAAAUUUAGAGGUUAAUUUUUUUAAUUUUAAUAGUACAAGGAACUCUAUGCAGCCAUAACAAAGAAAUUUCAAAAAAAAAUUACCAUAGUGAAGAAAAAGAGACUUUUUCUGUCAGAUUAGGUUUCUCUUUCUCUCUCUCUGAGAGUCUCUCUGACAGUCCUAUACUCUUAACUCUUAUCCUUUUUGCGGCUAGGGUUUUUCUUUCUACAGUACCUUUUCUAACUUUUUUUUUUAAUUUAUUAGAAGAUUGGUUUGGUUUCAUAAUAUAAAAAUCUAAUGGAAGUUUUGUAAGAGUAAGGGAUUUUGUGGUUAUUAUAAAAGAAAGAUUCUAGGGGGUUUGGAAGUGGUUAGUGUGGAUUGUUCAUUAAAAAAAAGAAAUGGCUGGUUUGAACCCUUUUGAUUUGUUGGGGGAUGACGACACUGGGGAACUAUCAUUGCUGAUCGCUGCUCAGCAAAAGGCCGUCGCAGCGGCCACUGCCACUGCUGCUGCUCCAAAGAAGGGCCCAGCAAAGCCUCAAGCUAAGACGCUGCCUGCAACUCAGGCUAAGCUUCCCUCCAAGCCUCUCCCUCCUACUCAGGCUGGUAAGUUUUCUCUAUCAAAGUGACUCAUUAUUUUCUGCUCUCUGUAUUGGGUCUUGAGUUUACCCGAUUGUGUUAAAUUCAAGUUUCAUUUUCUUAAUGGUCGAACUCUGGGGGGGGGGGUUAGUGGGUUUAAGUUUAUUCUGCUUCGGUUUCGUUUCUUGUAAAGUGCAGUUGGACUCUGAUUGUUAAAGACUAUUUGUUGUCGAUUAUUUACUUGGAAUAUAAUCAUUGAGAGUUUCUUAUCUGUAUAGACUUACUUCUUAUAGUGAACAGAGCAAAAGAUUCCGGAACGCAUAUUGGUUUGUUGCUGUUAUUUCUUUUCUAAAAUGAAAUCCAAUGCUGUCAAGUUGCACUCAAGCUACUAGAAUCCUUAUAUGUGGUAUAAAAGCUUAAGAUAUAUGGUAAUGAUAAUACACCUCUAAAAGAUAGAUCAAACUUUAAUCUCAUUAUCCUACAAAAAAAUGAAAUGUACAAUUUUUUGUUGGCCAAUGUGCAUGGUUUUUUUUUUUUUGGAUCUCAUGUCUGUUGUUGAAUAAUCAAGCAUUGAGAAGUAGAGUGUUUGGUAGUGUUCUUCUCUUCUUAGUAAAGGUAAAAUUAAUGAAAAAUAAAAUAAAAAAUGAAUGAAACUAAAGAAAACUUCAAUCAAGCAAACUUCUAAUCCAAUGCAUCUUGCCAAGAGGUCUUGAGGCGCUUUUGUUGUUUGAUGCUGAGGCACAGUGCCAAAGGUGCAUGCCUUAACUAUAGAAAUGAAAUCUGCAUUCUGUGGGGAACUCUUGUCUUUUAUAUCAUAUUCUCUGAAAGUGUCAAUUGGUGUUCCAUCAAAAAGGAGUUCUUUUUUACUCCUUUUCAAAGUGCUUAUGCAUUGGUAUGCAAUUUGUUUUUACUGAAGCUUGAUAGUUGUAGCUUUGAUAUCAUCUUGAUAGUUAUCACAGUUACUCGAAAUAUUUUUUUAUCUAAUAGUCAAUUAUAGUUUCUUUAUAGCUCUCUUGGGCUUAUCACUGAUGUCGUGUUCUUUUAAAGUGAGGGAGGCAAAGAAUGAAGGUGCUCGUGGCGGAGGCCGUGGUGGGCGAGGAUAUGGACGUGGUCGUGGUGGUAGCAGUGGAUACAGACGUGAUUUUGCAAAUGAUGAGAAUUCCUUCAGCAAUAGUGCUGUACCUGAAGAUGGAGAGAGUGGAAAACCCUCUGAAAGGCGUGGCUAUGGUGGUCCUCGACCUUACCGUGGUGGUCGCCGUGGCGGUUUCAGUAAUGGGGAAGAUGCAGAUGGGGAGCAACCUCGCAGGUUGUAUGAACGCCGUAGUGGGACU
rnacentral:lncRNA from 1 species